rnacentral:rRNA from 1 species
CCUACGGGGGGCAGCAGUGAGGAAUAUUGGUCAAUGGACGAGAGUCUGAACCAGCCAAGUAGCGUGAAGGAUGACUGCCCUAUGGGUUGUAAACUUCUUUUAUAUGGGAAUAAAACGUUCCACGUGUGGGAUUUUGUAUGUACCAUAUGAAUAAGGAUAGGCUAACUCCGUGCCAGCAGCCGCGGUAAUACGGAGGAUCCGAGCGUUACCCGGAUUUAUUGGGUUUAAAGGGAGCGUAGGUGGAUUGUUAAGUCAGUUGUGAAAGUUUGCGGCUCAACCGUAGAAUUGCAGUUGAAACUGGCAGUCUUGAGUACAGUAGAGGUGGGCGGAAUUCGUGGUGUAGCGGUGAAAUGCUUAGAUAUCACGAAGAACUCCGAUUGCGAAGGCAGUUCACUGGACUGCAACUGACACUGAGGCUCGAAAGUGUGGGUAUCAAACAGGAUUAGAUACCCGAGUAGUC